rnacentral:rRNA from 1 species
GACGAACGCUGGCGGCGUGCUUAACACAUGCAAGUCGAACGGAAAGGCCCUGCUUUUGUGGGGUGCUCGAGUGGCGAACGGGUGAGUAACACGUGAGUAACCUGCCCUUGACUUUGGGAUAACUUCAGGAAACUGGGGCUAAUACCGGAUAGGAGCUCCUGCUGCGUGGUGGGGGUUGGAAAGUUUCGGCGGUUGGGGAUGGACUCGCGGCUUAUCAGCUUGUUGGUGGGGUAGUGGCUUACCAAGGCUUUGACGGGUAGCCGGCCUGAGAGGGUGACCGGCCACAUUAGGACUGAGAUACGGCCCAGACUCCUACGGGAGGCAGCAGUGGGGAAUAUUGCACAAUGGGCGGAAGCCUGAUGCAGCAACGCCGCGUGCGGGAUGACGGCCUUCGGGUUGUAAACCGCUUUCGCCUGUGACGAAGCGUGAGUGACGGUAAUGGGUAAAGAAGCACCGGCUAACUACGUG